ACGGAAGGCAGCAGUAGGGAAUAUUGGACAAUGGGGGCAACCCUGAUCCAGCGACGCCGCGUGAGUGAAGAAAUAUUUCGGUAUGUAAAGCUCUAUCAGCAGGGAAGAAAAUGACGGUACCUGACUAAGAAGCACCGGCUAAAUACGUGCCAGCAGCCGCGGUAAUACGUAUGGUGCAAGCGUUAUUCGGAUUUACUGGGUGUAAAGGGAGCGUAGACGGCAUGGCAAGUCUGAAGUGAAAUGCGGGGGCUCAACCCCUGAACUGCUUUGGAAACUGUCAGUCUUGAGUGCCGGAGAGGUAAGCGGAAUUCCUAGUGUAGCGGUGAAAUGCGUAGAUAUUAGGAGGAACACCAGUGGCGAAGGCGGCUUACUGGACGGUAACUGACGUUGAGGCUCGAAAGCGUGGGGAGCAAACAGGAUUAGAUACCCUGGUA
rnacentral:rRNA from 1 species